ensembl:lncRNA
CUUCGGUCCAUGACUAGCCUCGCGGCUCCCACAGGGGCAUUGUGGGUAGGCUAUACAACUGUUACGAGUGGGUGGCACAUCUGUUCACCGAGACGGGCAGAUCCCCCCCCCCGCGUACCCCACCCUUCGCAAACCCUCCCUUCCGCCCCCAGGGUCAGUGCUGCGCCUCAGCUAGCGUUUCCCCCGCGUGGCGCUAAUAGCCGCUCUGAUAUCCGCGCUCGGCAGCAGACGAAAGGGACCCUUGACGGAUGCCACUCGUGACGCUCAGAUCCAGCGGCGCGGCACGCUAAUACAGGGGAUGCGCGGCGAGGUCGUGUUUCCGCGGCGACCCCAGUCCAUCUGGCGUCGGGCGGAUCACACGCUGAGCUUAAGAGGUGUGUGUGUCCGGCCCGGCUCUCCAGGAGGGUUGGUGGAGCCGCUGGCCUGCAGGGGGGUGCAGCCAGCGUGCCGGAUCAACGUGUGCAUCCUAAUCCUCCACAUGUGGCUUCACGGGCAUCCGAGAGGCUACGUCGCCGUCGCCGCAGAGAUCAGCGGGAGCGAGGGGUUUCUGGGUAAGCCCGCGCCGCCGCCGACCCCCAUCUUGAUAGGGGUUUGGCCUCCAGUGGUGGAGCAGUGAUCUGAGAGCAAAGAAGAGGAUCCCUCUGCUAACCUUGCCCUCUGUCUCUCUUUGUCUUUCCUGAUCUGUGUGUCGCUCCUUCGAUCCCUGUGUGUGUCUGUCUCUCUCGAUCUCUCUCUGUAUCGGUCUCUCCCUCUAUCUCUCUGUGUGUCUGUCUCUCUCUCUGUUUAUCUGUCUCUUUCAUUAUCUGUGUCUCUGCAGUUCUCCAUUUCUCGCCACUUUCUCUGUCCCCUAUUUGUAUUUUUAAUGCAUUAUUUUUCUUUUUCUUUGAC